AGCUAGCAUGGCACAGUGGUUUGAGCAUUGGACUACAACUCUGGAAACUGGGGUUCAAUUCCCUGUUUGGCCA